rnacentral:sRNA from 1 species
AUAUCUCUCCGUACGGGAAGGAUGAGAAGCUUUGACUAAGGUUCGAUUCGAGCGCAGCGAGAAAGCGUUGCCGCAGGCAACGACCCGAAGGGUGAGGAGCGAAGCGACAAAUAAUCCUUCCCCCACCACCA